rfam:TPA: Bos taurus chromosome 18, whole genome shotgun sequence.
UCCCUGGUGGUCCAGUGGUUAGGACUCUGCACUUCCAAUGCAAAGGACAUGGGUUCAGUCCCUAGUCCAGGAA